ensembl:lncRNA
CAGGGAGUUAGUUCCCUUUUCCUUGCACCCUUUCCAGCACUUGUUUGUAGACUGUUUCAGCGAUGGCCGUCCUGAGCUUGUGAGGUGCCUCACUGUAGUUUGGUUUGCAUUCCUCUGACAGCUAGUGGCACUGGACAUCUUUUCACGUGCCCCUGGGGCAUCUGUCUGUCUUCUUUGGGGAAAUGUCUAUUUACGUCUUGGGUCCAUUCUUUGAUUGGGCUGUUUACUGCAGGGAGAUCACCUGCUCAUUUUAGUGAUGGAGAAGCUGAAGCUGAGAAAUCUGCCCAAACCUCAGCAGCGAGAGGGACGGGGCUGCCGUGGGAACGGGCCUCUCAGGUCCCACCCCUGUGUUCACCACCCCGUGAGCUGUCUGCUGCGAAGACGCACAUCCAGGAGCACACACAGAAGGACCUGCAAGUGCCAACAGCUCAACCGGUUAUUUACCUAAACUCAUCUUUGUUGAGCACCUAUUAUGUGCCAUGCAUCAUGCUGGGAUAUGGAGGUACACUGCUGAACUUGACCUAGUAUUGGCACAAGAUCCUCGACCUGAUGGAAGGUAUGGACUAGCAGCUUUUGGGAGUGAGGUGGUUGUCUGUCUCCACGAGCUCCCCCAGGGUUUCUGGAGCUCUUUCAUCAUUCAUCGCUGUUUCCCCAGAAUUAGCACAAGGAGGAGCUUGUGCUGAAGCAGGAGGUCAGUAAAUGAUCUUGGACUGUUUGGGUCUCUCCAGGCCCAGAACAGAGUUAGGUGCCCCCCCCCCCACCCGGCCCUUCCAGGAGGGCUUCACACCCUGAUUCCAGGGCAAUGUGGUUAGCAGGACUGAUCUGUCUGAGAAAAGGUGGCAGUGAACCGCUCCCCAGGUGUGGCUUCUUAACCCUUUCUGUGGGUUAAGGCCCUUUGGGCAUCUGGGGAAGCCUGCGAAUCUAUCUCAUAAUAAUUUUUAAAAUAUUACAUUCAAACACCAGUGACAAUUUUACUAAAAUACAACUAUCAAAAUACUAAAAAAUUUGUGAUACAGUAACACGUUUAUUAAUACAUUAAGUAAGACUUAGUGGUGAAUUGAAUAUGAUCUUAAGAGUAUGGUAGCUUAAAUGAUACUUUGAGAUAUAUAAAAACUGACGGUGACGUGAAAAUACCUGUGAUUUCUGUUAGUAAUAACAUCACAGGGACUUCUCGCUGCCUGCAUUCAUGAUUAAGGGAAAUACUAAAUACCAUUCAGGCAAAGAGUUGGACAUGACUGAGCGACUGAACUGAACGGAUUCAGGUACUAGUGAAAAUAAAAAUGUAACUUUUGUCUGUAUCAUGGACUUUGCAGAAUUCUAUCCUUAGCAAUUCCCACCCCACCCUGGGGAAUCCGUGAACUCCUGCGGUAAGGCAAACGGCUUUGAUUCUUUAGGUUAGAUAAACAAGAAAAUUACCAGGAGAGGAGGGAACAAAGACUGAAGGGCUGUGAUCACAUCUGGUUGGGUGAGGCAGAGAAAGAUUUUAAGACAGGUGAGUUUCUGCUGGGGGUGUUAGAAAGGUGAGCCUAUUUUUGGAAUGGAGCAAGGAGCCGGGGUUGAGGGAAGGAAGCCUGGGGAGGGUUUGCUCUUGUGACUGAAUCAAAAAUAGCCAACUAACAUCACAGCCACGACCUCACCCCAGAGCAUGCCCGUAUCUCCUUUAUGUCUCUUCUGUCGCUGAGAACACAAAGCCUUUGUCCCUCUGAGAAAGGGUACCUGCCCCCAAGCUUAUACACAAGAGGGAACAAACACAUUAAGUUAAUACAACAAAAAUUUAAUUGCAAUUCAAAAAAUGCAGCCGAAAGAAUGUGGAACAUGCCACAUAUCUGGUUAAAUGCAUACAGUGCCAGCCGCAGGCAUUCAAAUGUGGGGGUCAAUUCCCCCCUGCGGUUUCGACUGGGGAAAUGGACAAGAGGCCAGCAGCAUUGCGUAGGCAGGCUGCAGUGUGUGUUUAGGGGUGGAUCACUGCUCCGACGGCCUCAGCGACCUCUGUACUAUUGGGAUAACAAGCAUGGCACCUGAUAUAUACUUAGCAUUCAACAAUGGAAACUAUUAUCAGAAUUCAAAAUAUAAUCAGAGAUGUUUGCAAACUGGUUUAAGAGACACCAGGUUUCCCUGGUGGCUCAGUGGUAAAGCAUCUGCCUGCAAUGCAGGAGGCAGGUUUGAUCCCUGGGAGGGGAAAAUCCCCUGGAGAAGUGAGGGGCAACCCAUUCUAGUAUCCUUGUCUGCAGAAUCCCAUGGACAGAGGAGCCUGGCAGGCUACAGUCCAUAAGGUCGCAAAGAGUGGGAGACGACUGAACGACCAACACCUUAAGAGACCCCAGGAGACUGGAGAACUUGUCUUUUUAGGGUGGUAAAUCUGAAAACAGAUUUGAAUGAAUAAAUGAAUGCGUCUUUGGGUCGGCGCCGCCCUCUAGAUCUGUUCUGCCCUCAAGUGCCCCGCACGCGGUUGAUGAAAUGGACCCCCACUCUGGGGCCAGCUGCAUCUCAGCCUGUACGGUGGUGGGGAGGUCAUCAUUCGGGGCCGGGGAGUGGUAGCAGCCCAGGCUGAGCUUGCGGGUGUCACAUGCCGGAGGAUCUCAGCUCAGUUUCCCUGCGCAGGUCCCCAGCAUCCGCGCGGUGCGUCUUUGGGCCCGAGGACCAGCCGGCUCGGCAUAGCCCAGGCCGAUCUCGGGACGAGAAGCUGGGGUAAGCGGUGGAGGAUCCCUCCUGGGUCCACUGCGUGGGCGACGUGCCGGUGCAAGCGCCGCCUCAUCCGGGGAAGGUCGAUCGAGGCCGCGCCACGCUGGACUGGGGGUGGGUGCUAAUGCACCUUCGGAUGCUCUGGUCCCCAGCCCUUCCGGACCGAGGUCCCCUCACUCCGCGGGAAUCGGGGACCGCGGGAGCUGGGGUGGCUGAAAGAACAGGGUAGCCUCCUUGGCAAAGACCGCGGGGGAGGAGACUCCCUGGCGAGGGAAGCGAGCGCUGCCGAGGCCGCCGGUCCCUUUAAGAGGCCGGGCUGGCUCUGCGGAGAUCCCACCUGACCGCCUGCCUGGUGCAGUUCUGCGGGCCGUGUCCCCGGGAGAAGGAUCGGAGCCGGGCCGGGCCACAGGACCCGGCGCAGGGGAGGGAGGGG